GGAAGCACGUGCACCAAACGUCACUUCCUGUUAUUCUCUUCGCUCCCUCUUUGAUCCGCAGUGGGUUCGCUGGUGACCGGUUUUUGGGGCGUGCCCUUUUCCCUCUCUGUCAGAUGGGGAAACUGAAGCAAAGAGAAAUAAAGUGACUUGCCUGCGGUCACACAGCCAGUAAGUGAUGGAGCUAGAACUGGAACCAAGGCAGUCGGGCUAGUCUGUGCUGCCACUUUCUCCUUAUGAUAAGAUGCCUGCCAGCGACGAGCUCAGUUUGGACACAUUGAACUUGAGAACUGUGGGGUAGCCAUGUGGAGGUAUCUGUGGGACAGAAGGUACAUGAGUCUGAAGCUCAAGUGAGAGAUUCGGACUGGAAAUAGAGAUUGUGGAGUCAGCAUGCGGGUGGCCGUUGAAACCACAGGAGAGGGCAAGAGCCCCCAAGGAGAUGCUGGGAAAUAAUAGGGGGAAAAAAACAAAGGGACCCCCAGAAGGCAAGCACAGCAUUCCAGUUAUGGGAAGGAUGCAUUUGCUUCUGCAGACUAAUAAAUUGGUGCCUGGUUUAUAGGUCAUCAAUCCACAUUGACUGAGUCGUCCCUCCCACCCCCCUGAGUUUGAUCAGCCCUGGAUACCCUGACACAGUAGAGUUCUUGGACCCACAACUAUGAGGCCCGGAGAGGUGAAGCCUCCUGUUGAAUUACGUAUGCAAAGCAACAGCAAUCGGAUCUCAAAUCACGAUGCCUUCAGCAAAGGAGAGCCGGAAGGGGGUGAGAAUUACUUUGGGGAGAUGAAUACCAGCUUUGGUUGAAGGAAUAAGAGCCGAACAGGUGUCGAAGGAGCAGGAGUCACAGGUGCGGCUGGUGAUCGCGGAGAAGGGCCUGGUCUGUGAGGAGCGGGAUGUGAGCCUGCCACAGAUCGAGCACAAGGAGCCCUGGUUCAUGCGGCUCAACCUGGGCGAGGAGGUGCCCGUCAUCAUCCACCGCGACAACAUCAUCAGCGACUACGACCAGAUCAUCGACUAUGUGGAGCGCACUUUCACGGGAGAGCACGUGGUGGCCCUGAUGCCCGAGGUGGGCACCCCACAGCACGCACGGGUGCUGCAGUACCGCGAGCUGCUGGACGCACUGCCCAUGGAUGCCUACACGCACGGCUGCAUCCUGCACCCCGAGCUCACCACCGACUCCAUGAUCCCCAAGUACGCCACGGCCGAGAUCCGCAGACAUUUAGCCAACGCCACCACGGACCUCAUGAAACUAGACCAUGAGGAGGAACCCCAGCUCUCAGAGCCCUACCUUUCUAAACAGAAGAAGCUCAUGGCCAAGAUCCUGGAGCAUGACGACGUGAGCUACCUGAAGAAGAUCCUCGGGGAGCUGGCCAUGGUGCUGGACCAGAUAGAGGCUGAGCUGGAGAAAAGGAAGCUCGAGAACGAGGGACAGAAAUGUGAGCUGUGGCUGUGUGGCUGUGCCUUCACCCUGGCUGACGUCCUCCUGGGAGCCACCCUGCACCGCCUCAAGUUCCUGGGACUGUCCAAGAAAUACUGGGAAGAUGGCAGCCGGCCCAACCUGCAGUCCUUCUUCGAGAGGGUCCAGAAACGCUUUGCCUUCCGGAAAGUCCUCGGUGACAUCCACACCACGCUGCUGUCAGCUGUCAUCCCCAACGCGUUCCGGCUGGUCAAGCGGAAACCGCCAUCUUUCUUUGGGGCCUCCUUCCUCAUGGGCUCCCUGGGCGGGAUGGGCUACUUUGCCUACUGGUACCUCAAGAAAAAAUACAUCUAGAGCCAGGCCUGGGCUUGGUAUCUGACUGCCAGUGUCUCUCUGUGCUGUGUGAUCCCCAAUGAGCUCUCAGUAACGCACUGUCUCAUGAACUCGGACAGCCUUUCCCCGCCCCUUGUUUGGAGUAAUUCUAUCGUCAAUGUGAAAACAUUCCAUAGUUUAGAAGUAGACGUUGCCAAUGCCGUGAGUUGAGGCCACGGCUCUACUAAAGGAGAGAAAGAGUAAGAGAGAGAAAGAAAAAGAGAGAGAGAGAGAGAGAGAGAGAGAGAGAGAGAGAGAGAGAGAGAGAGAGAUCAGAAACAAAGCACGAAUGCCUUUUCUUUCGAUUCAAGGUCUCAAGAUGGAACUGUGGGGACUGGUUAGGAUCUGAGGGAACUCUUCCACAGGACAAAAGCCAACAUCAAGACUCAACUCUUCUAGCCUCCAGGUGGGGCUAGAGACCCGGAGACCCCAUGGAAGGCCCCUGAAGAUCAGAAGGGGCUUCAUUCUUCUCCUGGACAUGGACUGAGACAGCACUGGCUCGAGCCAAGACAGUGGCACCCAACCACCAGGCCACGACUGGGACCGACACCAUGGGCACACCCUCAUUCCCGCCCUGAUGUGGCCAGUGAGUUUGGUUUGGCAUUUUACUGGUAAUCCCUGAAGGCAGCAUCCAUUAUCCUCUUCCCACCUGGAGUUGAGUUUUCCUACCAUGUGAAGUGGACUUUCAGUAAAAGCCAUGUUGACCUUAGAAGGUCAGUCCCGGCCCGAGUGCAGGGGUAGGUCUGGAGGGGGAUGAACCUCAAGUCCCUCUCCCAGCCUCUGCCAAAGCCAUCUCCUUUAAUGCCCACCUUUCCCAUCACUUGUGGGGCUCCCCUGCACGCCCCACCAUGCCACGCUGCCUGCCCUGGUCGUGUCUCACUUUCCUGUGCCUUUUGCAUGUUGGGAGAAAGUCUGGGUGUCACUGCCGCUCAUGCUUAGAAACCACUGAAAGCCCCCAAUAAAGCAUCCAGGAGAAGCAGUCGCUUUUCAUUUCUAAA